UCAGUCGGCCGGACGGCCGCUCCCGCUAUGGUCGAAAGGCUGCGGGGGAGGAAAGUCCGGGCUCCAUCGACAUACGGUGCCGGAUAACGUCCGGCGGGGGCGACCCUAGGGAAAGUGCCACAGAGAACGAACCGCCCCGCAAAGCCGCAAGGCGAAGCGAGGUAAGGGUGAAAAGGUGCGGUAAGAGCGCACCGCGUCGCCGGCAACGGCGAUGGCAUGGUAAACCCCACCGGGAGCAAAACCGAAUAGGGACGGCAUCGCGGACAGUUCGCUUUCGGGCGAUAACUCCGCAGGGUGAUGUCAAACCCGCCGUCCGGGUAGGUUGCUCGAGGCCAUGUGCAAACAUGGUCCCAGAGGAAUGGCCGUCGCGUAUCGGCUCGCGCAAGCGAGACGGUGCCCUCCAGAACCCGGCUUACAGGCCGGCUGACGUU
rnacentral:RNase_P_RNA from 20 species